CCAAUAGCGUAUAUUAAAGUUGUUGCAGUUAAAAAGCUCGUAGUUGAAUUUCGGGGUCAGCAGGUUGGUCGUGCCUCUGGUACGCACUGGUUUCGCUGAUUCCUCCUUUCUGAAGAACUGUAAUGUCAUUAAUUUGGUGUUGCAGGGAAACAGGACUGUUACUUUGAAAAAAUUAGAGUGUUUAAAGCAGGCUAACGCUUGAAUACAUUAGCAUGGAAUAAUGAAAUAGGACGUUUGAUCCUAUUUUGUUGGUUUCUAGGAUUGACGUAAUGAUUAAUAGGGAUAGUUGGGGGCAUUAGUAUUCAAUUGUCAGAGGUGAAAUUCUUGGAUUUAUUGAAGACUAACUACUGCGAAAGCAUUUGCCAAGGAUGUUUUCAUUAAUCAAGAACGAAAGUUAGGGGAUCGAAGACGAUCAGAUACCGUCGUAGUCUUAACCAUAAACUAUGCCGACUAGGGAUCGGAUGAUGUUAAUUUUUUAAUGACUCAUUCGGCGCCUUACG
rnacentral:rRNA from 1 species